GUAAGCGUCCUUGUGUACCUUCUUGUCUCCUGUACGAUUGUUAAUCGUGGAGCACGAUAGGAUACAGCUUGUCGGACGCUGAUUGGUCCAUUUCUCUGCCACUUGUACCUUUGUACUGUCCCAGGAUGGCAUGCGCUUCUGCCCCCCGCGCGGCGCGCGGCGUCUGGGGUAAACCCAUAUAGCUGACGCGAGGUCCAGGAACUGAGGGUUUUCAUCUAUGAAGCUAAGUGUGGAAUUUUGGUCUGAUCUUUGCUUGGUCUCACGCGCGACCUAGGUUUCACCUAAUUAGUCGGCGCGGGUCCAGAAAGUAGACAAAUUAAUGUAGUAGGAGUACGGUCUUGCGCGCGACCUGAUUGGUUAGCGCGGGUUUUUGGGACCAUACCCAUUUAGGUUUACACAGUCUAAUUCCUAACUUGCAUACUCAACUUUAGCAGGGUCGUUCCUACGUUUUUGGAGACCCUAAGUGAACUACGAAGUGGAGGCCUUUUUGCAAAAUAAAAAACUUAUUUAAGAGUUUACCAAUGAGCCUCACGGUUCGGUUUAAAACUAUGAAACCAUCCAAGCGGGUCAACGAUUUGGUUUCACAGUCAUUUUUUUUUACUUUCGAUCGGUUGGUUUAAUACAUUUCAAACCGUAACGAACGGUUUCGUUUACGGUUUAUAUCAAUACCGACCGUAUAAAACCGGACUGGACCGCAAGUUUUAAUAUUGUUUUAACUUUAAACUAUGUUAAAGUAAUUGUAUGUAGUUGUUUGUAUUACUUAAUUAAAAUAAAAUUUGUGCUGAACCAUUAAAUAAGUGAAGUAAUAUGGAUAACUAAGUUAGCAGCUCAUGCAUUGUCCAAUCUCAUUUCUUAUUUCUCAAUCCAACUGAGUUCUACGCAUGUUUAAUUGCUUUUUUCCUAACCCUCUUUAACAAACUCAAAAGAUUUCAAACCUCGCCUCCUGGACUCAGUCGCCUAGCACUGACCCACAUCCCCUUAUUGUUCUGAAAUUAAUUAUUCACUGUGUAAUCCUUGUUCUCUUAAGCUUUAUGUGACUAAUGUUAGUUUGAUUUCGUCUAUUUCUUCUGUUAAGUUAUAACAUCUAUGUGACAACAAUGGUGUGUGCUUUUAUCAAUUAUGUGCAGUCUUUAAUUGUCAAGGCUUACUGCUAAGUUUUAUGUCUCGGCUGAAUUCCAGACAACAACUAAUAUGGGGAUACCUAACCUAAGUUCCAAGCCAUCAAAUAAAACAAAUUAAAAAAAGCAAAUAAGCCCUAAACAGCAACCUGAAAGCAGCAAAUAUGGGACUGCAAUACCAAUCACAAAACUGAAAGAAUCAAUGUAUGUUAUUUUUGAGACUGGGCUAAGCAAAACUGAAAUAUUGAAUGUAUUAUACCGAAAUACUGAAUGUAUUAUACACAAAACCAAAAAUAGCCGUUUGUAAGAUUAAAGAUUGUUACCUGUAGGUUGUAGGCUGUAAUCUUCAAUUGAAACAUCGGAUUACCCUAAUUUGCGAAGAUUACCCAUAACCGACGCGCCAAUCAUCAAAUCUUGGAACUUCGAAUCGCCCUCGUGGUGUGGAUUCUGAAAGAAUCAAUCUUUAGUAGGAGCAGUAGCAAUGCAUAUAGAGAUCAGAAAAACUUAAUGAUAGGAUGGGCAGAACAUGGUGGGGUGGUAAAACCUUAGUGGGCUCAGGAUAGGAUGGGCCAUAGCCAUGAUAAACGAUCCCUGGUUGAGUAUGACCUCUGUUAUAAACUAAACUCGGAAUUCAAAUGAAAGAAUCUACGGCUAGUUAGGUUACAGUCGCACCACCCAAAACGGGCUGCAGGACCACUUGCUAGCUACUACAGAUACACCCCCAACAAAUACUUCACUUGCUCUAUCGAGUUAUACAGUUGAGCUCAAAGAAGAACAACAUUCAAAACAAUCUUAAAUAACAAUUACAAACUCCUAGACGGUACCUGUAUGGCUGUAUGUAUGGGUUUAAAUUAAUUAAUUGAAAUUCUAGACAUUAAGCAUGGAAAACAUGACAAUAAAUAAAAUUUGUUAGGCAGGCAUGGCGGGUCGUGGGUUGUUGGAGGCCAGAUCUUCAAAUUUGAGCUUCUUUUUGGAGCUGCUAGGUUUACCUCCUGAUCUGCUGCUA
rnacentral:lncRNA from 1 species